UACAGAGGGUGCGAGCGUUGUCCGGAAUCAUUGGGCGUAAAGGGCGCGUAGGUGGCCCGGUCAGUUCGUGGUGAAAGCGCGGGGCUCAACCCUGCGUCGGCCAUGAAUACUGCCGCGGCUGGAGCACUGUAGAGGCAGGCGGAAUUCCGGGUGUAGCGGUGGAAUGCGUAGAGAUCCGGAAGAACACCGGUGGCGAAGGCGGCCUGCUGGGCAGUUGCUGACACUGAGGCGCGACAGCG
rnacentral:rRNA from 1 species